UGGUGAAUUAUUUGAGCACUAGGCCUGGCU
rnacentral:piRNA from 1 species